CACGUAGGCGGCUUUGUAAGUAAGAGGUGAAAGCCCAGAGCUCAACUCUGGAAUUGCCUUUUAGACUGCAUCGCUUGAAUCAUGGAGAGGUCAGUGGAAUUCCGAGUGUAGAGGUGAAAUUCGUAGAUAUUCGGAAGAACACCAGUGGCGAAGGCGGCUGACUGGACAUGUAUUGACGCUGAGGUGCGAAAGCGUGGGAGCAAACA
rnacentral:rRNA from 1 species